UUUUGUUUCAGGUUGCAUUAACAGCCUUGACUGUUCAGUGACAACCCUGACAGUUUGGAAGAAGAAAAGCCUUGGACAGGAGACAGGACUCUGUGACUUCCUCUGUGAAACCGAGGGCUCAUUAAUAUGAGCACAUUCCACUCUCCCCAACAGUAUCUUAAGAAUUCAGCGGAACAUUUAGAGAUACAAUAUGCCACUACUUGCGGAGAAAUAGGUUCCAAGACCACCCCCAUGGAUAUCUGAAACUGCGGAAAAUAGUAAACUCUUUUUGACUAUACUUGGGCUGGAAGCAUCCCAUAGAAUCCCCCUAGACGACCUAGAGAGUCCCACAAGCACUUCUUGGGAGUGGAGUUAUAUUUUUUUCGGCAUGUGGGUAAGUGAAACCAUGGAUUUUGAAUCAAUUGAUAAAGGAGUCCUUCUGUACAGCUUAGGCAUACAAAGAAAAAGAACAAGCAAAGUAAUCAAAGGAAUAUACAUUCAAUUUUCACUAUCUCUGCAAUGCCAGACAUUUGUGGUACUGAAAGAAAAGUUCAGAGGAUAGGGUCAGAAUUUGGGGGGGGGGGGCAAUAUCCUCAUUUUGCCAACUGUGGCUGCACCCCCACUAACAUUACUGUGACAGGCUGGGAGAUAAUCAGUUGUAGUGUUAUUUUGAUAUAGGUCAUGGAUCUCAUGCCCUGAAGUUACAGGUUGCCUUUUCCCAGUGAAGGAAUUAUGAAGAUUGACCAGAAACAGGGUGGGAACACCAGCUUAAUACAGGCAUGAUUUCUCUAAGUGGGCAGAUUUACUUCUUCUUCAUGACUGUCAAUGAAACUGGCCUCUUCACAUUUCUAGUGAUCACCGAGAGCAUGGAACUGGAUGACUGGGUGUGGGCAGCGGUAGGCUGCAAGGAUUCCAUCUUUUCAGCAGUGAAUGUUCUUGCUGUUGUUCUAGCUUCAACUCACGUGAAAACAAUUUUGACCAAUCCCCCAAGUGUCACAAAGAUCUAGAAUGUUAACUGUAUGCUAUGCUAGAUGAAAUCAAAAAGUUAUAAAUUACGUUUGCUUUGCUCCCAACCACUUAUUUAUGUAAAGUUAGGGACCUAACUUUGGCGAACAGAGAUUCAAAGUUUCUAUAUGCUGUGACAAUGAAUGGCUUAAUUUAGUAAAUAGUAGCUGUGCUGAACUAGAUGGAAACUAAUAGUGUUUCCCAUUCUGUACUUCCAGUUGUUUUGGACUUUAGCUCCCAAAAUCCCUGAUCAUUGGUUCAACCAGUUGAGGCUUCUGGGAAUUAACGUUCAAAACAUGUGAAAAAAUAGUUUUUUGGGAAUCACUGGUUUACUGUGAUAGAGCUGAAUCUUUUAAGAAAAUAUAUCUUUUCACUUAGCUAACACUGUCCUGAAAAUCUUUGUAGCUGAUAAGAGGGGUAAACAAAUCACCUUCAGAUAGAGCUGAGGUUACCAUGCUCAGGUCAUCAUAUUUUGCUGGAAGGCCACCUCAGAGACUCUCAACACUAUGACCAGUUUCCAGGUAUUCAUGGAGAUGAAGGCCAACACCCUUGCUUGGGAACUAAACUAUCUUAGUGACCGCGUCGUCCCCUAUGAACCCACCCGGUCGCUGAGAUCUUCUGGGGAGGCCCUCCUCUCGCUUCCUUCCUCCUCACAACUGCAUUUGGUGGGGACGAGAGAGAGGGCCUUCUUGGCCGUGGCUCCCCGACUCUGGAACUCCCUCCUCAGGGAGAUUAGGUUAGCUCCCUCUCUACCUUCCUUCAGGAAACAACUGAAGACUUGGAUGUUUCAGCAGGCCUUUGGAGAUAGAGUCAUUAAUUAAUCAGCCCCAGAGGGUUUUUAAUAAUCUAUCCCGUUUUUAUUACGAUUUUACCAUUUAUGUUUUAAAUGCAAUUUUUUAUCCUGUAUUUUUGUUUUAAUUGAUAUAUUGUAUUACUGUUUUAUCUUUUUAUAGUGUGAUUUGUAUUAUGUUGCCUAUGUUUUGUUCUAUGUUGUUUGGGCCUCUGCCCCAUGUAAGCCGCCCCGAGUCCCCACGGGGAGAUGGUGGCGGGAUAUAAAGUUUUAUUUAUUAUUAUUAAAUUAGAUGAAAGAAGGUAAUGCAACUUGGGUCAGGGUAGCUGUGGACCAUAUUGUUAUCUUGCACUGUAUGACUCAAGGCAGAAACUGCUGUAAAGCGGGGGGAGCCUCUUGCCUCUUUGCCUGCUAUAUACUGUAGUCAGACACCACUCAGUGGUCAUAUAAGAGAAAAAUAACAAAAGUAAAGAUUUCACUUUUGAACGGA